UACGGAGGGGGCUAGCGUUGUUCGGAAUUACUGGGCGUAAAGCGCACGUAGGCGGACUGUUAAGUCGGGGGUGAAAGCCCAGGGCUCAACCCUGGAACAGCCUUCGAUACUGGAUAUCUUGAGUACGGGAGAGGUGUGUGGAACUCCGAGUGUAGAGGUGAAAUUCGUAGAUAUUCGGAAGAACACCAGUGGCGAAGGCGACACACUGGCCCGUUACUGACGCUGAGGCGCGAAAGCGUGGGGAGCAAACAGG
rnacentral:rRNA from 1 species